rnacentral:rRNA from 1 species
AGUUCGGAUUGUAGUCUGCAACUCGACUACAUGAAGCUGGAAUCGCUAGUAAUCGCGGAUCAGAAUGCCGCGGUGAAUACGUUCCCGGGUCUUGUACACACCGCCCGUCACACCAUGGGAGUCGGGAAUGCCCGAAGCCAGUGACCCAAGCGAGAGCAGGGAGCUGUCGAAGGCAGGCCGGAUAACUGGGGUGAAGUCGUAACAAGGUAAC